GCCGGUGUGGCGGAAUUGGCAGACGCGCGGGACUCAAAAUCCCGUUCCUUCACUGGAGUGUCGGUUCGACCCCGACCACCGGUACCA
rnacentral:tRNA from 1 species